UUUGAGUCUCCCCAAGAGUAAGGUGAGAAGUUCUUUGAUAGAGGAUACCGCGGGUCUAUUUGGAAACAUCCUCUCUACCCCGAGGUAGGGGUAAGGUCUGCGUACACACUACCAUCCCAGACCCCACUAAGCGGGAUUAUACUGGGUUGUUGUUGUUGUAUUAAAGAAGUUUCUACAACACAAGAAAAUAUUUUAAAAAAUAAAUAGAAAAUAGCCGUCUCAAAACUGCAUAUUCAUUCUACUAUUGCAUACGAAUGCCUUUUUCUAAGUGGAAAUACUUCUCUCUAUCUAUUACAAAUAGAAACACAACAAACUGUUACUGCUAAUCAGUUAGUUCAUCUCUCCAGCAGCUCCUGGCAGCCAAGCCCUUUUAUUUCUUGAAUUUUUGUUUGCCAUCUUUUCGAUAGACCCUCGGCUAAAGAAAAGCAUUUCAAAGCAGCUUUGAAAAGGAAAACAGUAGUAAAGAGUUGAGAAUAAUGCAGAUAAGAACAGUAACAAUAGCAAAAUAACAAAGCAAUAAGAUAACUAAAGCAAUGAAAACAACAGGUAGUAAUAGAGAUCGAGAGUUAAGAUAAUACGAGAAUGAUAACAAUAAUAAUACCAGUGAUACGGAAAAUAAGGAACAAAUACGGUAUUCCAAACUCGACUACCUACUAACCUUCUACCCUAAUCCUCGACCUCCAUAUCCUUCUAUCUAGGGUGAUGUCUUCGGUAAGCUCAAAAGACUGGUGCUUGUUCUCGUUUUGUUUCAGCCAAACGGAACCAUGAGGAUAUGUUACCAACUAAUUUCCAACUGCUAGUGGCGCACAAUUUGAGACUCGGUAGAUAAUAGGCCCGUCCCUCUACCCUUCUGCAAUUAAACACCAAGCUUUUGUUUGCGGCAAGGUUUGGACCCGUCUGCGCCUAACCCACACAUCACAAGCACAGUCUAUGCUCUUACAACUAAACCAAGCCUGGGGGCAGAUCACCUGUCUUUGAAGAGAUUUACUGCUUGUUCUAUGAUAGGGGUAGGUGAGGGUAGGGAAGAGACGUCUAGUUUUAAAUGGAGGCUGGGUAAUUUGAUUUACGGUUUCAUUGAAAUCAAAUACAAAUUCUCCUAUAGGUACUGAUGUUUCAUUAGGCAUAUAAAUCUAGACUGAUUGACCUAUUACUCCAUUUUUCAGUUCAAAAUACUGUUCACUUCUGGAAAGAAAGGUUUUCUCAUUCUAAAUAAAACCAUCCAAUUAUAUAAGAAAAUAAAGUACUACACGACUCACUUCUACGCAGUUUCAAGUUCUAUUUACCAAAUCAUAGUAUGAUGCAUAUUUGUCGAUCCGCUCAGUACAAAACAACUACAAUUCCAUCUUAAUUUUCAUGCCCUGUAAAAUUAUAAGACCUGCAUAGUAGGCUAAGUUGCUCCGACACGGCAGCUUAGGUGCCGCACCUGUGUCGACACGACACUAGUAUGGUUGUGGGUAUGAAAUCCAUAUCAGAUCUGGCCAAACAAUUUUGGGUAUUUUGACCUCGACGAACGAAAAAAUUCGGGACGAGAUAUAAUUUGAUUGCCUAUGUUAUUAGCAUCUAUAGGUUAUGUUAACGUUUAUAAUUGAAGACCUCCUUAGUGCAGUACUCUAGUUUGCCUCAAGUAUUACACCAUAUAAACCACUGCUUAAUGCUAAAGACAGUGGGAAUGUUAGGCACUUUAGGUGACAGAUAUAAUAUAUCCUUUCAUAAACCUCGUAUUAGACUGUAAACUUAAACUAGAUGGAUCCAAGGCAUGUUUCUGUGCACACAAGACGCUAGCAACUUUACAGAAAGCUCACAUCAAGGAGGAUACAAUCACUUAAAAUUUUUGUCUAACCCCAAUUUUCUAUUAGUUUAUGGAAGAAUCUUGACAUCUCCACGGAGCAGUUGAAAACAAAACCUAUUUAGAGUAUUUGAGCAAGCUCAUAAAGGCAUUGUAAGGUUGAAACGCGGAGCCAAGGAGAGGUACAUAAGGAUAUCAGAGUUUCUUGUUAGCAAAUUGCUGUUUUCUUCUCCAUUUACCAUAAAUCUUUAGUCAUUCUGUAAGAACUUGAUAAGUUCUUCAUCAGUAUCACACUCUAACUCUCUCUAUAUACUAGCAAUAACAUGAUGGCAGUCUACAUAUGAGUAAAUAAUUGGUUCUAAGGCAGUAUAAGUUCAACUCCAAGGUGAAUAUGACAAAAAAAUGAUAUUUGCAGAGAAGGAAAUAACAGAAUUUCACAUUCUUCUUUUACAUUAUCCUGAAGGGGACUUUGCAUCAUCCUGAUACAGUUUUGGUCCUUAAUUAACUUAGAUGACCUUAUCAGUUAAAAAGGUGGGACUUUUAAAUCAAAUUUGCCAUCAUAGUUUAAUCUAUUCAAUUAUUACAGUACUAAUUGUAUAAACCCUGGCAGUUAGCUUUAUACACUCAGCCAUGAAAUUAACGCCUUUUUUCCAGUAAUAUGUUCUUCAGGUUAAAUGUAUCUUCAAACAAAGAGUUGCUGCUGAAAGGCGGAUCCCAGAUUUUGAACUUUAUGGAUCCGGAUUCGGAAUUCUACCACAUUUUAACUACUUUACUGUGUUCAUAAUUUAUUAUUUCUACUUAUUUAGUGAUUAUUAGACACAUAAAUGGUCUAAGCUGAAACUACAGGGUUCACAUGAACCCCUAGCUUAUUCUCUAAAUCUUCAUCAGGGGAUAAUAUAAUUGUAAAAACAACAAUAAGAUGCCUCAAAUUAAACCAAAACUAUUUGGGGUUAUCUAUUCCUAAUUAAUCAUUCCACCAACGUCUCAAUUAAUGCAAACCCAUCCUAAUUGUGCUGAUCAUACUCUAUUUGACUAAAUUUCGGAGCUCAAUUGAACAAGAUUAAUACUCUAAUUCUCCAAGAGAAAGUUACAAAUUUUCACGGAAAUUGAAAUUAUCAAAUACCCAAAAUAGAAAAAAGCACAAAUCUUGAUACCUAAUAAAUCCACAAGGGGAGUGUAGAUUCAAGAAAGUUGCUUAGCAUUCUGGUAAAAAGCAGCAGAGCAGAGAAUUGAAGCAAUGAAAGCAAAAAUCCCUAAUCCAAUCAUUAGGGAAACACCAGCUACCACCAAGUCCAUCAUGCAUUGCAAGCUUAUCCCCAUCAACAUUUUCUCUGUUUCUCUAUGCUUAGUUUCCUUCUAAAUUAAAAUAACACGUGUCAUUUCUCUUUAACACUCGUUUUUGCUAUUUAUAGAAAGAAGAUAGAGAUGGAUAAGAAUGGGCAUUUUAGCACCCCGAGAAGGAGAGAAGCAGAAGGGAUCAACUCACAGCAUGUGACGAAUUGUUGCAGAAAAUGCAUCGGGAAGGUUGUCACACAUAGAGUAUUUGGCUAACUUUAUAAGCAGGUCAAAUUAUAUUU
rnacentral:lncRNA from 1 species